CCUACGGGUGGCAGCAGUGAGGAAUAUUGGUCAAUGGGCGGGAGCCUGAACCAGCCAAGUCGCGUGAGGGAAGACGGUCCUACGGAUUGUAAACCUCUUUUGCCGGGGAGCAACGGGGUCCUUGCGAGGGCCCAAUGAGAGUACCCGGAGAAAAAGCAUCGGCUAACUCCGUGCCAGCAGCCGCGGUAAUACGGAGGAUGCGAGCGUUAUCCGGAUUUAUUGGGUUUAAAGGGUGCGUAGGCGGGUUAUCAAGUCAGCGGUAAAAUCGUGGAGCUCAACUCCAUCCAGCCGUUGAAACUGAUGAUCUUGAGUGGGCGAGAAGUAUGCGGAAUGCGUGGUGUAGCGGUGAAAUGCAUAGAUAUCACGCAGAACUCCGAUUGCGAAGGCAGCAUACCGGCGCCCGACUGACGCUGAAGCACGAAAGCGUGGGUAUCGAACAGGAUUAGAUACCCGGGUAGUC
rnacentral:rRNA from 1 species